rnacentral:rRNA from 1 species
AACGAACGCUGGCGGCAUGCCUAACACAUGCAAGUCGAACGAUUGCCUUCGGGUGAUAGUGGCGCACGGGUGCGUAACGCGUGGGAAUCUGCCCUUAGGUUCGGAAUAACAGCUGGAAACGGCUGCUAAUACCGGAUGAUAUCGCGAGAUCAAAGAUUUAUCGCCUGAGGAUGAGCCCGCGUUGGAUUAGGUAGUUGGUGGGGUAAAGGCCUACCAAGCCGACGAUCCAUAGCUGGUCUGAGAGGAUGAUCAGCCACACUGGGACUGAGACACAGCCCAGACUCCUACGGGAGGCAGCAGUGGGGAAUAUUGGACAAUGGGCGCAAGCCUGAUCCAGCAAUGCCGCGUGAGUGAUGAAGGCCCUAGGGUUGUAAAGCUCUUUUACCCGGGAAGAUAAUGACUGUACCGGGAGAAUAAGCCCCGGCUAACUCCGUG